rnacentral:rRNA from 1 species
CCUACGGGCGGCAGCAGUGGGGAAUAUUGCACAAUGGAGGAAACCCUGAUGCAGCGACGCCGCGUGGGUGAGGAAGUAUUUCGGUAUGUUAAGCCCUAUCAGCAGGGAAGAAAAAUGACGGUACCUGACUCAGAAGUACCGGCCCAAUACGUGCCAGCAGCCGCGGUAAUACGUAGGGUGCAAGCGUUAUCCGGAUUUACAGGGUGUAAAGGGAGCGCAGGCGGCACGCUAAGCCUGAUGUGAAAACCCGCGGCCCAAACGCGGGAGUGCAUUUGGAACUGGCGAGCUGGAGUACCGGAGGGGUAGGCGGAAUUCGUGGUGUAGCGGUGAAAUGCGUAGAUAUUAGGAGGAACACCAGUGGCGAAGGCAGCCUGCUGGACGGAGACUGACGCUGAGGCUCGAAAGCGUGGGGAGCAAACAGGAUUAGAUACCCCAGUAGUC